GACGAGCGCUGGCGGCGUGCCUAAUACAUGCAAGUUGAGCGCUGAAGGUUGGUACUUGUACCGACUGGAUGAGCAGCGCACGGGUGAGUAACGCGUGGGGAAUCUGCCUUUGAGCGGGGGACAACAUUUGGAAACGAAUGCUAAUACCGCAUAAAAACUUUAAACACAAGUUUUAAGUUUGAAAGAUGCAAUUGCAUCACUCAAAGAAGAUCCCGCGUUGUAUUAGCUAGUUGGUGAGGUAAAGGCUCACCAAGGCGAUGAUACAUAGCCGACCUGAGAGGGUGAUCGGCCACAUUGGGACUGAGACACGGCCCAAACUCCUACGGGAGGCAGCAGUAGGGAAUCUUCGGCAAUGGACGAAAGUCUGACCGAGCAACGCCGCGUGAGUGAAGAAGGUUGUCGGAUCGUAAAACUCGGUUGGUAGAGAAGAACGUUGGUGAGAGUGGAAAGCUCAUCAAGUGACGGUAACUACCCAGAAAGGGACGGCUAACUACGUG
rnacentral:rRNA from 1 species